rnacentral:pre_miRNA from 1 species
AAUAAGAUCAUGUUUCAGUUUUUGAUACAAUGUUUUGACUCUUCAUCUUAUUUAAAUUUUUUUCAAUUAAUAUUCUUAUUCUUACUAGAUGAUAAAACAUAAAUAGUACUUUAUGCCUGACUAAUUUUUUUAAUUUUUUCUAUAAAUUUUUUAAAUAAGACAAAUGGUCUGGACAUGGAAAAACGAAAAAUGGAGUUACC